GAUCUACUCCCUCCGUUCAGAAUUACUUGUCGCAGAAAUGGAUGUAUCUAGAUGUAUUUUAGUUCUAGAUACAUCCAUUUUCAAGACAAAUAAUUCCAAACAGAGGGAGUAGUUU
rnacentral:pre_miRNA from 1 species